AUUGAACGCUGGCGGCAGGCCUAACACAUGCAAGUCGAGCGAGCGGCGGACGGGUGCGUAAUGCCUAGGAAUCUGCCAGGUAGUGGGGGAUAACGUCCGGAAACGGGCGCUAAUACCGAAUACUAUAAGAUGUGCCCAGAUGGGAUUAGCAGGUUGGUGGGGUAACGGCUCACCAAGGCGACGACCCCUAGCUGGUCUGAGAGGAUGACCAGCCACACUGGAACUGAGACACGGUCCAGCCUCCUACGGGAGGCAGCAGUGGGGAAUAGUGCACAAUGGGCGAAAGCCUGAUGCAGCCAUGCCGCGUGUAUGAAGAAGGCCUUCGGUUUGUAAAGUACUUUCAGCGGGGAGGCGUUACCCGCAGAAGAAGCACCGGCUAACUCCGUGCCAGCAGCCGCGGUAAUAC
rnacentral:rRNA from 1 species